AUACGUAGGGUGCGAGCGUUGUCCGGAAUUACUGGGCGUAAAGAGCUCGUAGGUGGUUUGUCGCGUCGUCUGUGAAAUUCCGGGGCUUAACUCCGGGCGUGCAGGCGAUACGGGCAUAACUUGAGUACUGUAGGGGAGACUGGAAUUCCUGGUGUAGCGGUGAAAUGCGCAGAUAUCAGGAGGAACACCGGUGGCGAAGGCGGGUCUCUGGGCAGUAACUGACGCUGAGUAGCGAAAGCAGGGGUAGCGAACAGGAUUAGAUACCCUGGUAGUCCAUGCCGUAAACGGUGGGCGCUAGGUGUAGGGGUCUUCCACGACUUCUGUGCCGUAGCUAACGCAUUAAGCGCCCCGCCUGGGGAGUACGGCCGCAAGGCUAAAACUCAAAUGAAUUGACGGGG
rnacentral:rRNA from 1 species